rnacentral:misc_RNA from 1 species
AACACUCAUAAAAAAAUACGAUAUAUAUAAAUUAAAAAACCAAGUGACCCAAAAGGAGAGGAGUUAGAAAUAGACCCCAUGCAGUACGACAGACCAUGGCUGAUGUAUGAUACUUCUCUUCUGAAACUCUAAGAAGGCUGCAACACUUGAUUUCCAAUAUCUUGUCUUGGUUUGAUUUAUUUGACAACAACCAAAUUACAUCUCGUUAGGAGGCAUAAGCACAGUAUUCUUAUUCAUAACGUUUGCCUAGCUUUCAUUGCACUUCAGUGAUUUAGUUGCCAGUUGCCGUUUACUCGCCAGAUAGUUUCUUCAAUUUGACUGAUAUCAAGCUCAAGAAUCAUACUUAAUUUAGGCAAAACUUAGAAUUAUUGGAAGGAUCCCUUCAAUCGGUGAGGCAGAACUCAAAAAUGGGAAUGGUCGCGUGCAUGGUAUUAAU